GGGACCGUAGCUCAGCUUGGUUAGAGCGCACGGCUGAUAACCGUGAUGGUAAAACUAUUAUUUACCUCGGUAAAGGUCCGGGGUCCAAAUCCCCGCGGUCCCA
rnacentral:tRNA from 1 species